rnacentral:misc_RNA from 1 species
UCCAUCUUAACGAUGGCAGUCCUAUUAGAGUGCCCAACUUAAUGCUGGCAACUAAUAGCAAGGGUUGCGCUCGUUGCGGGACUUAACCCAACAUCUCACGACACGAGCUGACGACAGCCAUGCAGCACCUGUGCUCCGGCCCCUUUCGGGGAAGCCCUAUCUCUAGGGUUGUCCGGGCAUGCCAAACCCAGGUAAGGUUUUUCGCGUUGCAUCGAAUUAAACCACAUGCUCCACCGCUUGUGCGGGCCCCCGUCAAUUUCUUUGAGUUUUAAUCUUGCGACCGUACUCCCCAGGCGGGAUACUUAACGCGUUAGCUCCGACACUGAAGGGGUCAAUACCUUCAACAUCAAGUAUCCAUCGUUUACGGCGUGGACUAC